UAGUAACGGCGAGUGAGCGGGAAGAGCUCAAAUUUGAAAUCUGGUAGCCUUCGGUUGCCCGAGUUGUAAUCUAGAGAAGUGUUUUCCGUGCCGGCCCAUGUACAAGUCCCUUGGAACAGGGCGUCAUAGAGGGUGAGAAUCCCGUCCUUGACAUGGACCCCCGGUGCUUUGUGAUACACUUUCAACGAGUCGAGUUGUUUGGGAAUGCAGCUCAAAAUGGGUGGUGAAUUCCAUCUAAAGCUAAAUAUUGGCGAGAGACCGAUAGCGAACAAGUACCGUGAGGGAAAGAUGAAAAGCACUUUGGAAAGAGAGUUAAACAGUACGUGAAAUUGUUGAAAGGGAAACGAUUGAAGUCAGUCAUGCUCUUGGGACUUACCUCCCUUGAGUGGGGUCAACAUCAGUUUUGAUCGAUGGAUAAAGGCACGGGGAAGGUAGCACUCUCGGGUGAACUUAUAGCCUCGCGUCAUAUACAUUGAUUGGGACUGAGGAACGCAGCAUGCCUUAUGGCCGGGAUUCGUCCACGUACAUGCUUAGGAUGUUGACAUAAUGGCUUUAAACGACCCGUCUUGA
rnacentral:rRNA from 1 species